rnacentral:rRNA from 1 species
UACGGGGGGAGCAAGCGUUGUUCGGAUUUACUGGGCGUAAAGGGCGCGUAGGCGGCCAGCGCAAGUCAGUUGUGAAAUCUCCGGGCUUAACUCGGAAAGGUCAACUGAUACUGCGCGGCUAGAGCGCAGAAGGGGCAACUGGAAUUCUCGGUGUAGCGGUGAAAUGCGUAGAUAUCGAGAGGAACACCUGCGGCGAAGGCGGGUUGCUGGGCUGACACUGACGCUGAACUGCGAAAGCUAGGGGGAGCGAACGGG